rnacentral:rRNA from 1 species
UACGUAGGGUGCAAGCGUUGUCCGGAAUUAUUGGGCGUAAAGAGCUUGUAGGCGGUUUGUCGCGUCUGCUGUGAAAUUUCGGGGCUCAACCCCGAACUUGCAGUGGGUACGGGCAGACUAGAGUGUGGUAGGGGAGACUGGAAUUCCUGGUGUAGCGGUGAAAUGCGCAGAUAUCAGGAGGAACACCGAUGGCGAAGGCAGGUCUCUGGGCCAUAACCGACGCUGAGAAGCGAAAGCAUGGGGAGCGAACAGG